rnacentral:lncRNA from 1 species
UGUACAUGCAAUAAUUUCUGGAUUCUUUUAGGUACACUUUGGCCAACCAUUGACCUGUUCCAGCCAUUUGAGUGAUUUGACCCGUUCCAUUUUUUUUUACCUAUUUUUACCUGCUCAAAAGCAGAUGGGCUGAAAUCAGUAACACAUAUUAUUAUUAACUAAAGAAAGAGAGUCAAAGGAAAAAUUUACACCCGUAGUCAAAACGUGGAGCUAAAAGUAAGCUAGAUAGUUGUACCAUAUGUAAAAAGUACAAACACAAAGCAUAUAAAACCUAAUAAGCAUAACUUUAGAACAACUCUAUGCUCAAAUCAGUUACCAAUGCAUCACUAACAAGCCUAAACCCUAAAACACAAAUUUCACAGUGAAGGUGGAAUUGUGAAAUAACCAUGUAAGAGAUAAUUUAUUUAAAAAUUUAUACAAAACAAUACGUAUAUGUGUGUGUAUAUAAAGAGAGAGUGUGAAACUGAAAUGAUUUUAGAGAGACAGUAAGGAAGUUACCGGAGACGGAGUAAUUUUCUGAUGUGAAUCUGCUUCUCUUAUGGCUGUAACACUUGAUGUUUCGUCGGAGCUCUUGAGGCCAUCUUCGUCACUCCCCUAACCACCACCAAAACCCGCCACUAACGAUCCGAGAAGGUAUCCCUUUCCCCUCACUUCCAGUUUCCGGUCCCGUAUAGACCCGGUCAAGUUUGGUCCGUGUUCACCUCCACUCAGAUGCUUAAAACGGAUAAUAGAAACCCACAAAGAUUAGCUUAAACAACACUAAAACUGAAAACUUUAACACAAACUCGACAUAUUAAUUAAACACACAUUACAGAAAAUAAGACAUCAUAGAUUCAUAGGAUGUAAGCUGCAUAUCCUACUAAGGCAGCAUGACCCUAUAUAGUUAUAACAUUAACAGAAAAAUUUUAACUAUUAAAGAUACUAACUUAUAAUACUCACACAAAUAAUAUUUUCUUAUUUAUUAACCUCUUUUCUUAACCACCAACUUACAGCUUGUCCU